GAUGAACGCUGGCGGCGUGCCUAAUACAUGCGAGUCGAGCGAACAGACGAGGAGCUUGCUCCUCUGACGUUAGCGGCGGACGGGUGAGUAACACGUGGAUAACCUACCUAUAAGACUGGGAUAACUUCGGGAAACCGGAGCUAAUACCGGAUAAUAUAUUGAACCGCAUGGUUCAAUAGUGAAAGACGGUUUUGCUGUCACUUAUAGAUGGAUCCGCGCCGCAUUAGCUAGUUGGUAAGGUAACGGCUUACCAAGGCGACGAUGCGUAGCCGACCUGAGAGGGUGAUCGGCCACACUGGAACUGAGGCACGGUCCAGACUCCUACGGGAGGCAGCAGUAGGGAAUCUUCCGCAAUGGGCGAAAGCCUGACGGAGCAACGCCGCGUGAGUGAUGAAGGUCUUCGGAUCGUAAAACUCUGUUAUUAGGGAAGAACAAAUGUGUAAGUAACUAUGCACGUCUUGACGGUACCUAAUCAGAAAGCCACGGCUAACUACGUG
rnacentral:rRNA from 1 species